CUCCCAGCUGCAGAACCUUGGACUUUGUCAAUUGCUCACCCAUAUCACCAUCCAGCCAUCCAGCCUGUACCUUGCCAAUUUGUCCAGCACAAGGCUGUGGGAAGCUGUGUUGAACAUUUUGCUCAAGUCCAGCAGAAAAAAUGCCAGCCAGCUCCAAGGUGGAUGUGCUGCUGACCAAAGCUGGAGACAAUCAGAAAUGAUGGCAACACGUCUAUGAUAAAAUAUGUAAGAAGAAAAAUAAAUUAUUGUGCAUAAGGAA